CCCACACAGGCAUGAUUUAGAGGACAAUUCUAAUGCCAAAAGUUGAAAGCAACAUAUGGUAUGGCAUCUAGAAGAUAGUUAGGAAUAUGGGGCUUAGUGAAAGAACAAUUACAGGUCAAUACAAAGAAAAGGGAGAUGACAGGUGACUUGCUUCAGAGUGCUUCUCAGCAGCACACUCCAGUGUCCAGAGACCAGGCAGAUGUGAGGCUACUCACAUGGAGAUGUGAGUCCAGCCUGGAGAGGGGUUUUCAGUGUUUCAGCUCUUUGGAUGUGAACCUGACAGUUUUCAGUCACCUACCCAGUGCAUUCUUCAGAGGAACCCAGUAAUCCACAGAUUCUUUUCACUUCCCAAAAGUCCAUCUUGUUGGGAUCCUGAAGGAUCUAGGCAGUCUCAGCAGGGAGGUGGUAUCUUCUUUGCAGGUGAAGGCUCACUCCCCAUUCCUGUCCUCUGAGGAGGAGGAGACCAGAAGGUCCUCAUAGAGGACAUUCCAUAGGACCUGGGAGCUGGCUCCCUCCCCUUAUCUUGAGAGGCUGGGCUCAUACAAGUAUGUGUUUGCUUCUCAGUGGGAUGUCCUGGGGCUCCUUCUAUGAACUUGGAAGUCCAACAAUCACCUUGGUCCUGUUGAAGAUCAUCCUCAGGGGUUGGCCUACAACAUGGGGCACCGAUGGCUCCUGGGACUCAGUACAAGGUCUGGCUGAGACCAGGGCAGCUGUGCUCUUGGGCCUUGGUUGGUCAGUUCUGGGCCCCUGGUCUUUGCACUCCACGCUGAAUACUUGACCACGUGCAUUUCUUUUGGGCACAGUCCUUGGGUGAUGUGCUGAGGUACCCUGAAGCUUGUGAUGGAGUGCAUCCUGUGCAACGGCCUUUCUGCCAUCCUGCCUGAACAGUGGCUUAGGAUCAUCAAUGACAGGUGGUUUGACCUUGUUCCUCUCUGGAGGGCAACAUGCAGGAACUUGCAAAACUUUUCAUGGGAGGGUUUCCAGGGAACAUCUCUCUACACAGAGACUUUUUGGCAGGUGGCACUGUGGUCUCCAUUCCAUCUGGUAGCACCCUUUUUGUUUCCUGCAAUGAACCUCAGCAUCUUUGAGUGCUGUGGAGAACACAAACACAGGCAGAGUUCAGGACCACACUGACCUUCACUAGACGGGUAGUGAAGGCUUUCAGAAAAAAAAACAUGGUGUUCAUAGGAUCAACACUCCAAAAUUGAGUCUGUCUCUGGUCACAUGGAAGUCAAAUCUGCCAGACUGUCAUGUCCCACACCAGCUAUCCUAAACCUGUAGCAUAGGCAAGUUCGGCAUGGAGAAGUGAAGACUUACAGCCUGCCUGCAAAGUUUAGGUCAAGGAUAUUCUGAUGACUCAAAGGUACGUGCCUGUGUCUAAGUGCUUUCUGGUAAGACCUAUAGAAAACUAGUUAUGUCUGGAGAGGCAGGGUGUGAGACUCCUGUGGCCACCUGGAAACAGUUAGCUUCAUUACCAGGUAUCUCACUCCCUAUGGAGAAUUGUAAUCAUCAUACAUGGGAUGAGAAGCCAGUAAAACACAUUUUUAGAUGCCAUGCCUUGAAUGUGAUUCUCACAAUGGUUUUGGGGGUCACUAUGUAGCAAACAGAGUGGCAUGGAAGAAACUGGGAUAUGUAGGUGCCACUUAGAGUUGAUAAGUGUCUGGAUUUCACAAGUAUCAGAAAACAUCAUUUGCCAGCAUGAGGAAAAUCUGUGGACAGACAGGAAGGUAAGAUGAAAGUCUCCAGCGCAGACCAUGUGUGAAACAGGCUUCAGAAAGAGGACUUGGAAUCUGAUAUGCAAGGUCAUUCCCAAGGAUAAUUGAGGAAGUACCUGCCCAACCUCCAGGACAGCUGGUCUACCCUGAGAACCAUAGAGCGGUGGCUCACUCAUCAGCAUCGAUCUGAAUUCUGAAACAGACCAAGUAAACCCCUGGUCCAACAGAUGUUUAUGAAAGCCAACAGGAACAGGGGACAUCGGGGAAUCUUAGCCAAUAUGCUCAAGGUGAUGGACCCACAUUCAGUGAGUCGAGAUGCUUGCAGAUCUGGGGCCAUGGAGGCCUUCCACCACAGAGAGCCCAGAGUAAGCCAAGAGGGUCCAUGGCACAGAAGGUUCCCCCACUGGAAGAAAAGAACCUUGGGUGUAUGAACAUAAAAGGAAGACACUCAUAAAUUUGCCAUUGAAGGUUUAAGGAAGGACCAAAACAUCAGCUAGGCG